CCCCUAGAUGUUCUGGGCCGCACGCGCGCUACACUGAACAGUUCAACAAGUCUUAACCUUGGCCGAUAGGUCUGGGUAAUCUUUGAGCGCUGUUCGUGAUUGGGAUAGACCUUUGCAAUUAUGGGUCUUCAACGAGGAAUUCCUAGUAAACGCAAGUCAUCAGCUUGCAUUGAUUACGUCCCUGCCCUUUGUACACACCGCCCGUCGCACCUACCGAUUGAAUGGUCCGGUGAAAUCUCGGGACGGCGGCUUGGUCGCUUGCGUCCGACUGCUGAAACUUGAUUAAACCAUAUCAUUUAGAGGAAGGUGAAGUCGUANCA
rnacentral:rRNA from 1 species